ACAAACUCUCUCGCAGACUCGUUCGUGUUCUUCCUCUCUCUCUCUCUCUCUCCGGCUAGUUCCUCUCUCCUCCGAUCGCUCUACGACGACACUGAACUCGCUGGGAGCUGCCAGGCUAUGAAUUUGCUUCUGUUCUCGUGACUUUUUGUCAGACCGCUGAGCCCGUGCCCCGGUGUGAGCUUCUUGGGCUGUCGGGUGCUCGUCGUCCGGCAGCAGACCACGUCGCGACACGGGGGCAGUGGAGGCCGAGCUCACCCAGCUCGAGACCAUACGGUGGCAGUAGGAGACUGAGCACCAUGUGGUGUGGGCGUCGAUUCAAAAUCACUAGGAAAAGAAGCAAGGAGUACAAGGAACACACACUAUGUCAACAGAAUGAGCGUCUUGAGCUGGUGCGGCGUUCGUGCGGGGCUGGUGCACGAGGGAGGAGCCAACUGCACUCGCCUCUUCUUCUUCCCCAAAGGGUGCAGGAGAUGUUCCUCGCCCACACUUAAUUCAGUGAAAAGAUUGAUGUGAAAGAAAGAGAACUCGAGCCAAGGUGAUGGUGAUGGAAAUGAAUUAAAGAAAGAGAAGCUUGUAAGGACGCCUACACAAAGAUGAGCAGAGAGCAGGGGAGUUCGCUGGGAUGGAGCCGCUGGUGGCCUGGCCGUAGCCGUGGAGGAGGUGGGGGCGGAGGAGGAGUUGAGCGCUGGCCAGGGUCGGGCGGGGCAGGAGGUGAGCGCUGGCCUGGAGGAGCCUGGCGGAGAAGCAGGGGCGACGAGGGGCCUGGCGGAGGGGCAAAGAGGAGAGCUCACCUGGAGAAGCCCGGCGGAGGGGCAAAGAGGAGCGCUGGCCUGGAGGAGCCUGACGGAGGGGCGCUGGCCUGGAGGAGCCCGACAGAGGGGCGCUGGCCUGGAGGAGCCCGACGGAGGAUGGAGGAGUGCUGGCCUGGAGGGGUGCUGCCUCGCGGAUGGAGGAGGAAGACGAUCUGUUUUGAAACGAGAAGUAUUUCUGUACUUUUGUGCGUUUUCACCUGAUCGGAGAGGAACUCCCAACGACAAUUAUUUCAGAACAGAGGGAGUAGCAUGCAUGUCCUCUUUUCUUUUAUCUCAUGCAGCCUCGCUGACACCUAGAAUAAAACAAGAUUCAUAUUUCACUGUUUGUUUGUUGAUUCUCA